rnacentral:rRNA from 1 species
AGUGAACGCUGGCGGUAGGCCUAACACAUGCAAGUCGAACGACCGCACAGUAAGAGCUUGCUCUUACGGGUGGCGAGUGGCGGACGGGUGAGAAAUACAUCGGAAUCUACUUUUUCGUGGGGGAUAACGUAGGGAAGCUUACGCUAAUACCGCAUACGACCUACGGGUGAAAUCAGGGGAUCUUCGGACCUUUCGCGAUUGAAUGAGCCGAUGUCGGAUUAGCUAGUUGGCGGGGUAAAGGCCCACCAAGGCAACGAUCCGUAGCUGGUCUGAGAGGAUGAUCAGCCACACUGGAACUGAGACACGGUCCAGACUCCUACGGGAGGCAGCAGUGGGGAAUAUUGGACAAUGGGCGCAAGCCUGAUCCAGCAAUACCGCGUGGGUGAAGAAGGUCUUCGGGUUGUAAAGCCCUUUUGUUGGGAAAGAAAAGCAGCAGGUUAAUACCCCGCUGUUCUGACGGUACCCAAAGAAUAAGCACCGGCUAACUUCGUG